rnacentral:lncRNA from 1 species
UUCCAUUUUGAUUCCCAAACAUGCUUUAUUUUUUUUUUUUUUUUUUGGCCAAGCCAUGGUUGACAUCUAUGUAGAUGAAGAAAAGAAUACUUCAAACCAACCAACCUCAUGUAUUACUCAAUAAUAAAAUCUAAAGGAAUAUUUAGGAGUGACAUCCUCAGAUACAACAUGCUCUUUAAUAUGCCAAAGCCACCUCAAGUAAGUGAUUUCCUUUUAAGUCAUUCAUUUAUCUAUUAUUAUGAGUAGUAAUAACAGUAUUUGAACUUCAGA